UUCUAUAGUCGAUACAAAAUCUUCAUGUAUCAUCUUUCUUCUUAACCAAUAACAUAGGGGAAGCAUAAGGACUGGUACUUGAUUGUAUGACUUUGUUACUGAGCAUCUUCUGCACUAAUUUCUCAAUCUCCUCUUUCUGAAAGUGUGUGGAUAUUUAUAAGGUCUAAUGUUUAUAGGCUGGGCAUUAGACAAAAGAGGAAUGGAGUGGUUAUGGGAUCUAAAAGGAGGAAGUUCUUGCGGUUCCUUAAACAACCCUUCAUACUAAACCAAUAAUGAUUGUAGUGCCUGCCGGAAAGCAUCAGGUGUUGAUGUAGUUGCAGAACAUUCGACUAACUCCAUCUUUGCCUCUUGUGAAAAUGUUGCUUUAACACAAAACAUAGGCUGCUCAAAAUUUGCCCCUUGUUUAUGAAACAACUUAUCUCCAGAAACAUGAUUCACCUCCUCCACAGCUAACCCUCCUUCACCAACUCCUCGCAGUGAUACAAUCUUCCCAUGCACUUGGAAGCUGAUGCUGAAAUUCUCAAAGUCAAAUAAGACUGGGUUGUGUAGUUUCAUCCAAUCAACUCCUAAAAUCGUAGCAAAACCUCCCAGUAGUAACAAUCUAACAUCAAGGGUGAAAGAAUGCUCUUGAAUAUUCUAUGUAAACCUUAGUGACCUACUGGAGCUAAAAAUCUUCCUCCCAUCAACUACUGUGAGAGCAACCGCUGGGGCUGUAACAAUUGAUACCUUCAUCUCCUUAGCUGCUUGCUCAUUGUUAUAGGUUAUAGGAAGUAUAUAUGUUAAUAUAGGAAAUAAAUAUUGAUAGAUGGGUUAGUUGCUCAAUCUUAGGGAUUGUAUAAUCAUAGGCUUGAUUUUCCUUCCUGUUUAGAUACCGUCUCUCAUGUAUAAAUAGGUUGUAAUCUCUACUGUGAUAUAUAACAAAUAUUAUCCUUCUACAUGGUAUCAGAGCCAUUCUCGUAGAGAUUUUUUUUUCUCUCGUCAAGUUUUAAAAUUUUUUUUGGAAACUUAGAGCUCUGUUCAUUUGGAUUACCUAUAAAGGGUAACAUUUGGAUCUUACCAUCGCUGGAGUCGCCACACCGUCCCCUUGUCAAAUCUGAGGUUUGUUUGCUGUUCGGGCAUUGGGUGGAGGUGUUUUUUGGUACUGUUCAUAUUCGGGUACUGUUCAUCGGCACUGUUCAUGGUACUGUUUAUCGGUACUAUUCACGGAUAUUAUUCACGGGUACUAUUCUUCUGACCCUUUGUUUAUUUUGAUUAUUUUAGGUUGGUUGUCCUGAUGGCUAAAGUUAAAACCAUCGUAACUGAUGUGAUUCCUGUGAUGACUAAAAUCACGGAACACAAAUUAAAUGGAUCUAAUUUUUUAGAUUGGAGUAAGACUAUCCGUAUUUAUUUACGAAGUAUUGAAAUGAAUGAUCAUCUUACCAAGGAUUCUCCAACUGAUGAAACUCGUAGAGAUUGGAUGAGGAAUGAUGCUCGUUUCUGCAAAUUCGAAAUUCUAUUCAUAGUGAGGUGAUUAGUCUUAUUAAUUACUGUGAAUUUGUUAAAGAACUAAUGGAGUAUUUGGAAUUUCUAUAUUCUGGUAAAGGGAAUAUUUCCCGUAUUUAUGAUGUGUGUAAGGUGUUUUACCGAGUCGAGAAAAAUGAUAAAAUUUUGACAUCCUAUUUUAUGGAUUUUAAAAGAGUUUAUGAAGAACUUAAUGUAUUGAUGCCCUUUAGUACAGAUGUGAAAACUCAACAAGUUCAACGAGAGCAAAUGGCUGCUAUGAGCUUUCUUGCAGGUCUCCCUCCAGAGUUUGAGACAGCUAAAUCUCAGAUUCUUUCUGACUCUGAAAUAUCAUCGUUACAUGAUGUGUUCACUAGGGUAUUGCGUACAGAAUCUCCAAUUCCUUCACACCCCACUAGUGCCCUUGUUAGCCGCAAUGACAGUGGCAGACAGAAUAAUAGAGGUAGGCAAAGGGGAGGUUUUAAUUGUAGUAAAAGAUCUCAGCGUUCUGGGGAAACAGGUUCUACUUCUGACUCAGAAGGAAUCAUUUGUUAUUAUUGCCGCAAACCUGGACAUACUAAGAAGACAUGUCAAAAACUACAGAAUAAGAAUCAGCGCACACAAAUGGCGCAUAUGGCAGUUGAGGCCCCUUCAGAUUAGGGGAUUUUGAUAUCUGCAGAUGAGUAUGCACAAUUCACCCAAUACCAGGCAUCUCUGAAAUCCUCUAAUUCCUCCUCUAUCACUGCAAUUGCCGAGUCAAGUAACUCUAAUGCAUGUCUUGUGUCUUCAUCCUCCAAAAGGGUUAUUGAUUCUGGUGCUACCGAUCAUAUGUCAGGUAAUUCUACCCUUUUGUCCAAUCUCGAGUCUCAUGCAUCGCCUUCUUAUGUUACUCUUGCUGAUGGUACUAAAUCUUUUGUCAUGGGUUCUGGUCAUGUCAACUUAACCCCUUCUCUUUCUGUAUCCUCUGUGUUAUGUCUCCCUAAGUUCGCAUUUAAUUUGCUUUCUGUUAGUAAACUCACUCGUGCAUUGAAUUGUUGUGUCUCAUUCUUUCCUGAUCACUGUAUUUUUCAGAAUCUUUCGACGAAGCAGAUUAUUGGUACAGGGUGUGAGUCAAAAGGUCUCUACGUCUUGGAUCAGCAACUACCUAGAUCUCUUGCAUGUUCCACGCAUUUAACACCUUUUGAUGUUCAUUGUCGUUUGGGGCAUCCUUCUCUCUCGGCUUUCAAGAAGUUAUAUCCACAGUUUCAUUCUUUGUCUGUUUUAGAUUGUGAGUCUUGUCAAUUUGCCAAAUAUCAUCGUUUACCUUCAGUGUCUCGAGUCAAUAAACGGGCUUCGUCCCCCUUUGAGUUAGUACAUUCAGAUGUUUGGAGUCCUUGUCCUACUGUGUCUAAGUCUGGCUUUAAAUACUUUGUUACUUUUGUUGAUGACUUCUCUCGUACUACUUGGUUAUUUUUAAUGAAAAGUCGUUCAGAAUUAUUUUCUAUCUUUUGUGCGUUUUAUGCUAAAAUCCAAACCCAAUUCAAUAUUCCCAUUCGCCUAUUGCAAAGUGAUAAUGCUAAAGAGUAUCUCUCUGGGGAAUUUUAAUCUUAUUUGUUACAAAAACGGAUUCUUCAUCAGUCCUCUUGUGUUAACACUCCUUCACAAAAUAGAGUUGCCGAAAGAAAAAAUCGACAUCUUCUUGAAAUAGCCAGAGCCCUCUUAUUCCAAAUAAAAGUACCUAAAUGUUUUUGAGCUGAUGUUGUAUCCACUGCUUGUUUUUUGAUUAAUCGCAUGCCUUCCUCCAUUCUUCAUGGUGAUAUCUCUUAUAAUAUUUUGUUUUCCACUAAAUCUUUGUUUCCUAUUGAGCCACGUAUCUUUGGGUGUACUUGUUUUGUUCGUGAUGUUCGUCCACAGGUUACUAAAUUGGAUCCCAAAUCACUCAAAUGUGUCUUCCUUGGCUACUCUCGACGUCAGAAAGGGUAUUGUUGUUUUUCUCCUGAUCUGAAUCGGUAUCUUGUGUCUGCAGAUGUAACAUGCUUUGAGUCCACACCGUUUUUUCCGCCAUCAUCUGUUUAUAAUACCUAAGGGGAGGAAGAUGACCUCUUGUUAUACACUGUUCGCUCUCUGUCUCCUCAGACUACUACACCUUUCGCUCAUGUGCCAGGUCGCCCUCCAAUCUUUCAUGUGUAUUCCAGACGCUCAGAGGACUCUGACUCCGCUCCGCUACCCGCUUCUUUGUCGACAGAUCCUACUCUCACUAAUCCUUCACUGUCUGAUUUGGAUUUACCCAUUGCUCUUCGCAAAGGUAAACGUAUUUGCACUUAUCCUAUUUCAGCUUGUGUCUCUUAUGAUCAAUUAUCCUCUUCUUCUCGUUGUUUUGCCACUGUUUUAGAUUCUAUUUCAGUUCCCAAAACUGUUAUUGAGGCUUUGUCCCAUCCUGGUUGGCGUGCUACAAUGGAAGAGGAAAUGAUGGCCCUUGACACUAAUGGUACUUGGGAGUUGAUGUCCUUGCCCCCAGGAAAGCGGGCUAUUGGGUACAAAUGGGUGUUUGCAGUGAAAGUAAAUCCUGAUGGAUCUAUUGCUCGCCUCAAUGCCUAUUUAGUGGCCAAAGGUUAUGCACAAACUUAUGGAGUUGAAUAUUCUGAUACAUUUUCCCCGGUUGCCAAGCUCGCAUUUGUUCGAUUGUUUAUUUCCUUGGCAGCUAUACAUGAUUGGCCUUUGCAUCAACUGGAUAUUAAAAAUGCUUUUUUUCAUGGUCAUCUUCAGGAGGAGGUUUAUAUUGAGCAACCACCUGGUUUUGUUGCUCAGGGGGAGUCAGACAAGGUUUAUAGACUUCGAAAAUCUCUUUAUGGCUUGAAACAGAGUUCUCGGGCAUGGUUUGGCAGGUUUAGUGAGGUGGUCCAACAGUUUGGAAUGAAGAUGAGUAAGUGUGAUCACUCAGUGUUUUAUAGAAAUUCUGAUAGUGGAGUAAUUUUGCUUGUAGUAUAUGUGGAUGAUAUUGUUAUCACAAGAAGUGACAUUGCUGGCAUCACAUCCCUAAAAGAAUUUCUUAAAACACAGUUUCAUACAAAGGAUUUAGGUUCAUUAAAAUAUUUCUUGGGAAUCGAAGUUAUGCGAUGUAAGAAAGGCAUCUUCUUAUCUCAAAGAAAAUAUGUUCUUGAUUUGUUAGCAGAAAUACGAAAAUUGGGUGCUAAGCCUUGUAAUGCCCUAAUGACCCCUAACUUUCAACUUACCACAGAAAACAGUGAGUCAUUUGCAGAUCCUGAAAGGUAUAGAAGAUUAGUUGGCAAGCUGAAUUAUUUGAAGGUGACUCGUCUUGAUAUUGCAUAUUCAGUGAGUGUGGUAAGUCAAUUUAUGUCCUCUCCUACUGUUGCCCAGUGGGAUGCUUUAGAACAGAUUUUUUGUUACAUUAAAGGGGCCCCAGGGCGAGGCCUAUUCUAUGGUAACCAUGGGCACUCAAAUAUUGAAUGCUUUUCUGAUACUGAUUGGGCAGACUCGAAGGUUGAUAAGAGGUCAACUACUGGGUAUUGUAUUUUUGUGGAAGGUAACUUGGUCUCAUGGAAAAGUAAGAAGCAAAAUGUGGUCUCCCGUUCUAGUGCUGAAUCUGAAUAUCGAGCCAUGGCACAAGCCGUUUGUGAAAUCUUGUGGGUACGUCAACUAUUGGAAGAAGUUGGGUUCACAAAUUCGAUGUCUGCUAAGUUGUGGUGUGAUAAUCAAGCAGCUAUCCACAUUGCCUCUAAUCCAGUAUUUCACGAGAGGACUAAACACAUCAAGAUUGAUUGUCAUUUUGUUCGUGAAAAGGUCCAACAAAAGAUAAUAUCAACAGGACAUAUCCGAACUGGAGAACAAUUAGGAGAUAUCUUCACUAAAGCUCUAAAUGGAACUUGAGUUGAUUAUACAUGUAACAAGUUGGGCAUGAUUAACAUUUAUACUCCAACUUGAUGAAGAGUGUUAUAGGUUAUAGGAAGUAAAUAUAUUAAUAUAGGAAGUAAAUAUUGAUAGAUGGGUUAGUUGCUCAAUCUUAGGGAUUGUAUAGUCAUAGACUUGAUUUUCCUUCCUAUUUAGAUAUCGUCUCUUAUGUAUAAAUAGAUUGUAAUUUUUAUUGUGAUAUAUAACAAAUAUUAUCCUUCUACACUCAUCUAAAAUACUAUGAGUGCUCCUACUAUCUAUCAAAAUUAGCACCUCCCUAUUCUUAUGAUGCCCUAUCAUCCUCAUAGUAUCAGUCCCUUGAUCCCUUCUAAUGCAUGAACUAAAAGAGUUGCCUCUUUCUGUUUUUCAUUUCCCUUACCCUCCAUAACAUCAUGCCACUCUUCUUCACCUUCCUCCACAAUCUCCCCACUGUCUCCUUACAGUGCCAUUACAGUCCUAGCUCUACAAAUAUGCCUAGGAAAAUAUCUAUCUCCAGGGUUUUGGUGGUCACAUAGCAACAUGGUUAUUUGUAGUCUGGUUUACUGAGGUUUGGUUGGUUGUGGGUGAGUUCUUUUGUAAAAGAAUUGAUUUAUUUAUAGUGAUGGUAUUCUCUACAUUUAGGGGCUUGGUUGUUGAAGAAUAAGCUGGCUGAGAAGGUGUAGUUUUAUAGAAAUAGUUGGUAGAAGAAACUGGAUUAGUUUGUUUGAAAUUGGCUUCAACAGGUUAGUUUGGAUACUGAUCUUUUUG
rnacentral:lncRNA from 1 species